rnacentral:rRNA from 1 species
GUGCCAGCCGCCGCGGUAAUACGGAGGGGGUUAGCGUUGUUCGGAAUUACUGGGCGUAAAGCGCGCGUAGGCGGACAUUUAAGUCAGGGGUGAAAUCCCGGGGCUCAACCCCGGAACUGCCCUUGAUACUGGGUGUCUUGAGUUCGAGAGAGGUGAGUGGAAUUCCGAGUGUAGAGGUGAAAUUCGUAGAUAUUCGGAGGAACACCAGUGGCGAAGGCGGCUCACUGGCUCGAUACUGACGCUGAGGUGCGAAAGUGUGGGGAGCAAACAGGAUUAGAUACCCGGGUAGUCC